rnacentral:rRNA from 1 species
AGUGAACGCUGGCGGCAGGCCUAACACAUGCAAGUCGAGCGGCAGCGCGGGGGCAACCCUGGUGGCGCGUGGCGGACGGGUGAGUAAUUCGUCGGAAUCUGCCUUUUUGUUGGGGCUAACGUAGGUAAACUUACGCUAAUCCCGCAUACGUCCUUCGGGUGAAAGUGGGGGUCCGCAAGGCCUCACGCAGAUAGAUGUGCCGGCGACCGAUUAGCUAGUUGGUGGGGUAAAGGCCCACCAAGGCGACGAUCGGUAGCUGGUCUGAGAGGAUGAUCAGCCACACUGGAACUGAGACACGGCCCAGACUCCUACGGGAGGCAGCAGUGGGGAAUAUUGGACAAUGGGCGCAAGCCUGAUCCAGCCAUGCCGCGUGUGUGAAGAAGGCCUUCGGAUUGUAAAGCACUUUUGUCAGGAAAGAAAAACCUGGAGCUAAAACCUUCAGGGGAUGACGGUACCGGAAGAAUAAGCACCGGCUAACUUCGUG